rnacentral:rRNA from 1 species
UCGAGAAUUUUUCUCAAUGGGGGCAACCCUGAAGGAGCGACGCCGCGUGGAGGAUGAAGGCUUUCGGGUUGUAAACUCCUGUCAUUUGAGAACAAGGCUCCGAAGUUAACUGUUUCGGAGUUGAUAGUAUCAGAAGAGGAAGGGACGGCUAACUCUGUGCCAGCAGCCGCGGUAAUACAGAGGUCCCAAGCGUUGUUCGGAUUCAUUGGGCGUAAAGGGUGCGUAGGUGGCGUCGUAAGUCGGGUGUGAAAUCUCGGGGCUUAACUCCGAAACUGCAUUUGAUACUGCGGUGCUUGAGGACUGGAGAGGAGACUGGAAUUUACGGUGUAGCAGUGAAAUGCGUAGAGAUCGUAAGGAAGACCAGUGGCGAAGGCGGGUCUCUGGACAGUUCCUGACACUGAGGCACGAAGGCCAGGGGAGCAAACG